AGGCAGCCAGCCCCGUAAACAGAUCCCCGAGACGAGAGAUGAACCCAAAACAGCCGAUGUUCAGUGUAUUGGUGACAGGCGCUGAUCGCCCGGCAAAGCACCUGGAACUUACACUACAGGCGACAUGAGAGUAGAGCGUUACCAUCGUGGAAGGCUUUUUGUGACUAAGAAAAAAAUGG